GAUGAACGCUGGCGGCGUGCCUAAUACAUGCAAGUCGAGCGAACAGACGAGGAGCUUGCUCCUCUGACGUUAGCGGCGGACGGGUGAGUAACACGUGGAUAACCUACCUAUAAGACUGGGAUAACUUCGGGAAACCGGAGCUAAUACCGGAUAACAUGUUGAACCGCAUGGUUCAACAGUGAAAGACGGUCUUGCUGUCACUUAUAGAUGGAUCCGCGCCGCAUUAGCUAGUUGGUAAGGUAACGGCUUACCAAGGCAACGAUGCGUAGCCGACCUGAGAGGGUGAUAGGCCACACUGGAACUGAGACACGGUCCAGACUCCUACGGGAGGCAGCAGUAGGGAAUCUUCCGCAAAGGGCGAAAGCCUGACGGAGCAACGCCGCGUGAGUGAAGAAGGUCUUCGGAUCGUAAAACUCUGUUAUUAGGGAAGAACAAAUGUGUAAGUAACUAUGCACGUCUUGACGGUACCUAAUCAGAAAGCCACGGCUAACUACGUG
rnacentral:rRNA from 1 species